UAUACAGCGGUGUUAGGGCACAAAGAAUUUUGAUUUCUUUAGAGAGGUUCAGAACCUCCUGAU
rnacentral:tRNA from 1 species